GAGUUUGAUCAUGGCUCAGAUUGAACGCUGGCGGCAUGCCUUACACAUGCAAGUCGAACGGCAGCACGGGUGCUUGCACCUGGUGGCGAGUGGCGAACGGGUGAGUAAUACAUCGGAACGUACCUUAUCGUGGGGGAUAACGCAGCGAAAGUUGCGCUAAUACCGCAUACGCCCUGAGGGGGAAAGCGGGGGACCGUAAGGCCUCGCGCGAUUAGAGCGGCCGAUGUCUGAUUAGCUUGUUGGUGAGGUAAAAGCUCACCAAGGCGAUGAUCAGUAGCUGGUCUGAGAGGACGAUCAGCCACACUGGGACUGAGACACGGCCCAGACUCCUACGGGAGGCAGCAGUGGGGAAUUUUGGACAAUGGGGGCAACCCUGAUCCAGCAAUGCCGCGUGAGUGAAGAAGGCCUUCGGGUUGUAAAGCUCUUUUGUCAGGGAAGAAACAGCAGCUCUAACACAGUCUGCGAAUGACGGUACCUGAAGAAUAAGCACCGGCUAACUACGUGCCAGCAGCCGCGGUAAUACGUA
rnacentral:rRNA from 1 species